GACGAACGCUGGCGGCGUGCUUAACACAUGCAAGUCGAACGAAGAGCGAUGGAAGCUUGCUUCUAUCAAUCUUAGUGGCGAACGGGUGAGUAACGCGUAAUCAACCUGCCCUUCAGAGGGGGACAACAGUUGGAAACGACUGCUAAUACCGCAUACGAUCUAAUCUCGGCAUCGAGGAGAGAUGAAAGGUGGCCUCUACAUGUAAGGUCUCACUGAAGGAGGGGAUUGCGUCUGAUUAGCUAGUUGGAGGGGUAACGGCCCACCAAGGCGAUGAUCAGUAGCCGGUCUGAGAGGAUGAACGGCCACAUUGGGACUGAGACACGGCCCAGACUCCUACGGGAGGCAGCAGUGGGGAAUCUUCCGCAAUGGACGAAAGUCUGACGGAGCAACGCCGCGUGAGUGAUGACGGCCUUCGGGUUGUAAAGCUCUGUUAAUCGGGACGAAAGGCCUUCUUGCGAAUAGUGAGAAGGAUUGACGGUACCGGAAUAGAAAGCCACGGCUAACUACGUG
rnacentral:rRNA from 1 species